rnacentral:rRNA from 1 species
CACGCCGUAAACGAUGAGUGCUAAGUGUUGGAGGGUUUCCGCCCUUCAGUGCUGCAGUAAACGCAUUAAGCACUCCGCCUGGGGAGUACGGCCGCAAGGCUGAAACUCAAAGGAAUUGACGGGGGCCCGCACAAGCAGUGGAGUAUGUGGUUUAAUUCGAAGCAACGCGAAGAACCUUACCAGGGCUUGACAUCCUCGGACGACACUAGAGAUAGUGUUUUCUCUUCGGAGACUGAGAGACAGGUGG